CUACGGGGCGCACCAGUGGGGAAUAUUGCACAAUGGGCGCAAGCCUGAUGCAGCCAUGCCGCGUGUAUGAAGAAGGCCUUCGGGUUGUAAAGUACUUUCAGCGGGGAGGAAGGGAGUAAAGUUAAUACCUUUGCUCAUUGACGUUACCCGCAGAAGAAGCACCGGCUAACUCCGUGCCAGCAGCCGCGGUAAUACGGAGGGUGCAAGCGUUCAUCGGAAUUACUGGGCGUAAAGCGCACGCAGGCGGUUUGUUAAGUCAGAUGUGAAAUCCCCGGGCUCAACCUGGGAACUGCAUCUGAUCCUGGCAAGCUUGAGUCUCGUAGAGGGGGGUAGAAUUCCAGGUGUAGCGGUGAAAUGCGUAGAGAUCUGGAGGAAUACCGGUGGCGAAGGCGGCCCCCUGGACGAAGACUGACGCUCAGGUGCGAAAGCGUGGGGAGCAAACAGGAUUAGAUACCCUUGUAGUC
rnacentral:rRNA from 1 species